rnacentral:rRNA from 1 species
UACGUAGGUGGCAAGCGUUGUCCGGAUUUACUGGGCGUAAAGGGCGCGUAGGCGGUCGUGACAAGUCACUUGUGAAAUCUCCGGGCUUAACUCGGAAAGGUCAAGUGAUACUGUCGGACUAGAGUACAGAAGGGGCAACUGGAAUUCUCGGUGUAGCGGUGAAAUGCGUAGAUAUCGAGAGGAACACCUGCGGCGAAGGCGGGUUGCUGGGCUGAUACUGACGCUGAGGCGCGAAAGCUAGGGGAGCGAACGGG